rnacentral:piRNA from 1 species
UCUCCUCUAGCAGAUGCCUGAUGGAGCAG